UUUCUUUCAGAUGUGCAGCACAGGUGGAGACUGCCCCCUCAAGCACUCUUUCUUAAAUGGGUGAACGGAUUGGGAAAGAGUCUCCGAGUGUUUCAGGGCACUUUGUUUCUGCACAUUGCCAGUGGGCGACUGAUCCAGAGAGUCCCAGAGAUCCCAUGCUUCCAGUGCCAAUGCAUCACUGCUGCUACUUCCAGGAGAAAAUGUGUGUGCUCUGGAAAGAUAUCUAAUGUCUGGCUAGAGCUGCACAUGCGGAAAUGUGGAGAAAAGAUGGCUGAGAUGAGCUGCAGUUUUCACAGUGCUCAGAAGACCGGGCCCCAAGUGCUCUCUGCAGCUGAGCUGGCUCCAGUGCCUCUGUCCCUCUCUGAUCUCAUUGCUCUGCCUGCGCCACGUGGAGAUGAUGGCCUUGGGAGCUGGUGCAAACGCAGUGUGCUGCCAUGCACCAUGCAGACACGUGGCUAGUAUCUGUA